rnacentral:snRNA from 14 species
ACAUUCGCGGGGGGACACCGUGCUCAGGAAGGGGGUUUUCCCAGGGUGAGGCUCACCCUCCACACCCCGUGGUGGGCUGUGCCCCACAGUUUCUCCAAAUGCAGGAACCUUCCCUGCGUAUUUUAGGGUAGUGGCAGCUUGUGUUCACACUCUUCCCUA